CCUGCCAGUAAUCAUAUGCUUGUCUUAAAGAUUAAGCCAUGCAUGUCUAAGUAUAAGCGAAUUAUACAGUGAAACUGCGAAUGGCUCAUUAAAUCAGUUAUCGUUCAUUUGAUAGUGCCUUUACUACCUGGAUAACCGUAGUAAUUCUAGAGCUAAUACAUGCCAAGAGUACCGUCCCCUCUCGCUCGGGACGGUACGUAUUUAUUAGAUAAAAAACCAAUGCAGGGGCGACCCUGGUUCCACUGGUGAUUCACGGUAACUUCGCGAAUCGCACGGUCCCGCACCGGCGAUGAUUCAUUCAAAUUUCUGCCCUAUCAACUUUCGAUGGUAGCGUAGUGGACUACCAUGGUCGUAACGGGUGACGGAGAAUCAGGGUUCGGUUCCGGAGAGGGAGCCUGAGAGACGGCUACCACUUCCAAGGAAGGCAGCAGGCGCGCAAAUUACCCAAUGGCGACACGCCGAGGUAGUGACAAUAAAUAACGGUACGGGUCCCGACAAGGGUCUCGUAAUCGGAAUGAGCACAAUUUAAAUCCCUUAACGAGGAACGAUUGGAGGGCAAGUCUGGUGCCAGCAGCCGCGGUAAUUCCAGCUCCAAUAGCGUAUAUUAAAGUUGUUGCAGUUAAAAAGCUCGUAGUCGGAGCUCGGGGUCACGGACGGGCCCGGUCUGCCGGGAUGGUGUGCACUGGCCCGUCCGCCCCUCCUUCCGGCCUGCCGCCUCCUGCCCUUAGCUGGGUGGGGGGUCCUCGGCUCCGGAUCUUUCACUUUGAAAAAAUUAGAGUGCUCAAAGCAGGCCUAAUACUAGCGCCUCGAAUACAUUAGCAUGGGAUGAUGGAGUAGGACUCGGUUCCUAUUUCGUCGGUUUCCGGGAACGGAGUAAUGAUCAACGGAGAUGGUUGGGGGUAUUCAUAUUUAAUUGUCAGAGGUGAAAUUCUUGGAUUUAUGAAAGAUGAACUUCUGCGAAAGCGUCUAUCAAGGAUGUUCUCGUCGAUCAAGAACGAAAGUUAGGGGAUCGAAGACGAUCAGAUACCGUCGUAGUCUUAACCGUAAACGAUGCCGACCAGGGAUCGGGAGACGUUGCAUGGAUGACUCCCCCAGCACCUCGAGAGAAAUCACGAGUCUUUGGGUUCCGGGGGGAGUAUGGUCGCAAGGCUGAAACUUAAAGGAAUUGACGGAAGGGCACCACCAGGAGUGGAGCCUGCGGCUUAAUUUGACU
rnacentral:rRNA from 1 species